rnacentral:rRNA from 1 species
GAUGAACGCUAGCGGCAGGCUUAAUACAUGCAAGUUGAGGGGCAGCAUGAUAUACGUAAGUAUAUUGAUGGCGACCGGCGGACGGGUGAGUAAAAGGUAGGAGACCUACCUCAUACAGGGGGAUAGCAUAGAGAAAUCUGUGGUAAUACCCCAUGAGGUUAUAUGAAUAGAGGCAUAUAAUCAAAGUAUACGAGAGUAUGCGGUAUGAGAUGGGCCUACUGACCAUUAGCUAGUUGGUGAGGUAAGGGCUCACCAAGGCGAAGAUGGUUAGGGGUUUUGAGAGAGAGAUCCCCCACAUUGGAACUGAGAUACGGUCCAGACUCCUACGGGAGGCAGCAGUAGGGAAUAUUGGGCGAAUGGGCGAAAGCCUGACCCAGCCAUGCCGCGUGAAGGAAGACGGCCUUAUGGGUUGUAAACUUCUUUACUAUACGAAUAGAGGUUAGUACGAGUUACUAAUAGGAAGGUAGUAUAGCAAAAGACACCGGACUAACUCCGUGCC